rnacentral:rRNA from 1 species
CCCGGAAGUUAAGCUCUUCAGCGCCGAUGGUACUGCACCGGGGACGGUGUGGGAGAGUAGGUCGCCGCCGGAC